UGAUGCCGAGAGGCGGUCGUGAUGCCGA
rnacentral:sRNA from 1 species